AUCUCUUUGCAGAUGAGGUGGACUCUCCUUUCUUUUUCUAUUUCUUAAGUGGAUCUUUGGUAUUCACCAACAUCCUAGUUGUUUUAAUGGCUCUUUCAGUGUGCGUGAUGAACAAGACAGACAGCUGCCAAAGCACAGAAUCUCAAGCAAGAUAUCCAGCUCCCUCCACGGCAAAUGCAAAGGUUUACCAAAACAAAGAACUCCUGUAUUAUCCGGCUUUAAGUGUGCACCUGCACAACGGAUCAAGUAGACAGACGGAUCAGACCUGGAGUGAAUGUGUUUACCACAGCGUGACGCAGUAGAACUGGACAUAAGUCCAGUGUGUCCCGCAGGAUGACUUUGCUAUUGUGAGAAUUACAGAAAAGACAUACAUUGGAUUACUAUAAAAGUAGCACCGAUUCCAAAAAAGUCCACUGGCGGUCGCACUCUGUGAGUGAGCGCAUGCGUUAGACCUCCGCACUGCCGGUAGUUCCCUUCCAUUGAGGAAAAAAAAAAAUCACGUCAGGUCACCGCGCAUGCGCGAUCGCUUCUGAAAGGAGAGUCUCAUUGGGGUGUUUUUUAUGUCCGAUGUGUUGUGCGCUCCCUGUUGUUCCGUUUGGUAACCCGCUACUGCUCCUGGUUGUUAUUAUUCGGGCGAGCGCCAUGAGUUGGAUUGAAAAGUUGAGGGAAAAGCAGCUCGCGAGCCGAAAAAGUCUGUGGACCCCUGCGUUAGACCUUUUGCAACCACGGCGCAGCAGCACCCGCGUGAAAAUGACUGUGUCCCCCCCCCCGUCGUCC